rnacentral:rRNA from 1 species
AGCGAACGCUGGCGGCAUGCCUAACACAUGCAAGUCGAGCGCUCCCAGCAAUGGGGGAGCGGCGGACGGGUGAGUAACGCGUAGGAACGUAUCCUGAGGUGGGGGAUAACCCUGGGAAACUAGGGCUAAUACCGCAUGAUGGCGAGAGCCCAAAGAUUUAUCGCCUUGGGAGCGGCCUGCGUCUGAUUAGCUUGUUGGUGGGGUAACGGCCUACCAAGGCGAUGAUCAGUAGCUGGUCUGAGAGGAUGAUCAGCCACACUGGGACUGAGACACGGCCCAGACUCCUACGGGAGGCAGCAGUGGGGAAUAUUGGACAAUGGGCGAAAGCCUGAUCCAGCAAUGCCGCGUGGAUGAAGAAGGUCUUCGGAUUGUAAAGUCCUUUCGGCGGGGACGAUGAUGACGGUACCCGCAGAAGAAGCCCCGGCUAACUACGUG